GAUGAACGCUGGCGGCGUGCCUAAUACAUGCAAGUCGAGCGAACGGACGAGAAGCUUGCUUCUCUGAUGUUAGCGGCGGACGGGUGAGUAACACGUGGAUAACCUACCUAUAAGACUGGGAUAACUUCGGGAAACCGGAGCUAAUACCGGAUAAUAUUUUGAACCGCAUGGUUCAAAAGUGAAAGACGGUCUUGCUGUCACUUAUAGAUGGAUCCGCGCUGCAUUAGCUAGUUGGUAAGGUAACGGCUUACCAAGGCAACGAUGCAUAGCCGACCUGAGAGGGGGAUCGGCCACCCUGGAACUGAGACACGGUCCAGACUCCUGCGGGAGGCAGCAGUAGGGAAUCUUCCGCAAUGGGCGAAAGCCUGACGGAGCAACGCCGCGUGAGUGAUGAAGGUCUUCGGAUCGUAAAACUCUGUUAUUAGGGAAGAACAUAUGUGUAAGUAACUGUGCACAUCUUGACGGUACCGAAUCAGAAAGCCACGGCUAACUACGUG
rnacentral:rRNA from 1 species